rnacentral:rRNA from 1 species
GUGACCUCAAAUCAGGUAGGACUACCCGCUGAACUUAAGCAUAUCAAUAAGCGGAGGAAAAGAAACUAACAAGGAUUCCCCUAGUAACUGCGAGUGAAGCGGGAAAAGCUCAAAUUUAAAAUCUGGCGGUCUUUUGGCUGUCCGAGUUGUAAUCUAGAGAAGUGUUAUCCGCGCUGGACCGUGUACAAGUCUCCUGGAAUGGAGCAUCAUAGAGGGUGAGAAUCCCGUCUUUGACAUGGACUACCAGGGCUUUGUGAUGCGCUCUCAAAGAGUCGAGUUGUUUGGGAAUGCAGCUCAAAAUGGGUGGUAAAUUCCAUCUAAAGCUAAAUAUUGGCGAGAGACCGAUAGCGAACAAGUACCGUGAGGGAAAGAUGAAAAGAACUUUGGAAAGAGAGUUAAACAGUACGUGAAAUUGCUGAAAGGGAAACGCUUGAAGUCAGUCGCGUCGUCCAGGGAUCAACCUUGCUUUUGCUUGGUGCACUUUCUGGUUCGAUGGGUCAGCAUCAAUUUUGACUGUUGGAAAAAGGUUGAGGGAAUGUGGCAUCUUUGGAUGUGUUUAUAGCCCUUGGUCACAUACAAUGGUUGGGAUUGAGGAACUCAGCACGCCGCAAGGCCGGGUUUAAACCACGUACGUGCUAGGA